rnacentral:rRNA from 1 species
AUUGAACGCUGGCGGCAGGCUUAACACAUGCAAGUCGAGCGGAGAUGAGGUGCUUGCACCUUAUCUUAGCGGCGGACGGGUGAGUAAUGCUUAGGAAUCUGCCUAUUAGUGGGGGACAACAUUCCGAAAGGAAUGCUAAUACCGCAUACGUACUACGGGAGAAAGCAGGGGAUCUUCGGACCUUGCGCUAAUAGAUGAGCCUAAGGCGGAUUCGCUAGUUGGUGGGGUAAAGGCCUGCCAAGGCGACGAUCUGUAGCGGGUCUGAGAGGAUGAUCCGCCACACUGGGACUGAGACACGGCCCAGACUCCUACGGGAGGCAGCAGUGGGGAAUAUUGGACAAUGGGGGGAACCCUGAUCCAGCCAUGCCGCGUGUGUGAAGAAGGCCUUAUGGUUGUAAAGCACUUUAAGCGAGGAGGAGGCUACUGAGACUAAUACUCUUGGAUAGUGGACGUUACUCGCAGAAUAAGCACCGGCUAACUCUGUGCCAGCCGCCGCCGUAACAC